rnacentral:rRNA from 1 species
AUUGAACGCUGGCGGCAGGCUUAACACAUGCAAGUCGAGCGCGCGGCGGACGGGUGUGAAAUGUCUGGGAAACUGCCUGAUGGGGGGGGAUAACUACUGGAAACGGUAGAUAAUACCGCAUACCCUCAGAUGUGCCCAUAUGGGAGUCUCUAGUAGGUGGGGUAAGGGCGCACCUAGGCGACGAUCCCUAGCUGGUCUGAGAGGAUGACCAGCCACACUGGAACUGGGACACGGCCCAGACUCCUACGGGAGGCAGCAGUGGGGAAUAUUGCACAAUGGGCGAAAGCCUGAUGCAGCCAUGCCGCGUGUGUGAAGAAGGCCUUCGGGUUGUAAAGCACUUUCAGCGAGGAGGCGUUACCCGCAGAAGAAGCACCGGCUAACUCCGUGCCAGCAGCCGCGGUAAUAC